rnacentral:rRNA from 1 species
AUGAACGCUGGCGGCGUGCUUCACCCAUGCCAGUCGCACGGUGAAGCAGAGCUUGCUCUGUGGAUCAGUGGCGAACGGGUGAGUAACACGUGAGCAACCUGCCCCUGACUCUGGGAUAAGCGCUGGAAACGGCGUCUAAUACUGGAUAUGAGCUGCGACCGCAUGGUCAGCAGUUGGAAAGAUUUUUCGGUCUGGGAUGGGCUCACGGCCUAUCAGCUUGUUGGUGAGGUAAUGGCUCACCAAGGCGUCGACGGGUAGCCGGCCUGAGAGGGUGACCGGCCACACUGGGACUGAGACACGGCCCAGACUCCUACGGGAGGCAGCAGUGGGGAAUAUUGCACAAUGGGCGAAAGCCUGAUGCAGCAACGCCGCGUGAGGGAUGACGGCCUUCGGGUUGUAAACCUCUUUUAGCAGGGAAGAAGCGAAAGUGACGGUACCUGCAGAAAAAGCGCCGGCUAACUACGUG